rnacentral:lncRNA from 1 species
UCCCGAGGAGUGUGGUACGAAGCCUUGCACCAAAACCCAAAAAUUUGGAUUUUGGUCAGCUCUCGGUUUGGCUGUCUGGCGGGCUUGUACCGGUACAAGGUUGGGCCUGUACCGGUACAGAGUCGCGAACUAGCAAACCCGAGCCUCGGGUUUGCAUUUUCGCAGGCCUUGUACCGGUACAAGGGUGGUCUUGUACCGGUACAAUGUUGAUGGUUGUACCGGUACAGCCAUCGGGCCUGUACCGGUACAGUGCCGCAGAACAGCGCAACCCGAGCCUCGGGUUUGGAUUUCGUGGACCUUGUACCGGUACAAGGGCCCGUGUACCGGUACAAGGCGGCAGAUUUCGCACAGUUUGGACUGCAGGGGUGUUUUUGCGUUUGUAUCUCUUCUAUUUAUUCCCCCACGCCCCUUAGCUGUUUCUUUGAGCUUGAAACAGCAGGAGACAAGGUAAGGGAACCCUCUC